UACGAAGGGUGCAAGCGUUACUCGGAAUUACUGGGCGUAAAGCGUGCGUAGGUGGUGAGUUAAGUCUGUCGUGAAAGCCCCGGGCUCAACCUGGGAAUGGCGAUGGAUACUGGCUCGCUAGAGUGCGGUAGAGGAGAGUGGAAUUCCCCGGUGUAGCAGUGAAAAUGCGUAGAGAUCGGGAGGAACAUCAGUUGCGAAGGCGGCAUCCUGGACCGGCAUUGACGCGAGGCGCGAAAGCCAGGGGAGCA
rnacentral:rRNA from 1 species